rnacentral:tRNA from 1 species
UAGCUCAAUUGGUAGAGCAACUGACUUGUAAUCAGUAGGUUGGGGGUUCAAGUCCUCUGGCCGGCACCA